GAUGAACGCUGGCGGCGUACCUAAUACAUGCAAGUCGAGCGAACAGACGAGGAGCUUGCUCCUCUGACGUUAGCGGCGGACGGGUGAGUAACACGUGGAUAACCUACCUUUAAGACUGGGGUAACUUCGGGAAACCGGAUCUAAUACCGGAUAAUAUAUUGAACCGCAUGGUUCAAUAGUGAAAGACGGUUUUGCUGUCACUUAUAGAUGUAUCCGCGCCGCAUUAGCUAGUUGUUAAGGUAACGGCUUACCAAGGCAACGAUGCGUAGCCGACCUGAGAGGGUGAUCGGCCACACUGGAACUGAGACACGGUCCAGACUCCUACGGGAGGCAGCAGUAGGGAAUCUUCCGCAAUGGGCGAAAGCCUGACGGAGCAACGCCGCGUGAGUGAUGAAGGUCUUCGGAUCGUAAAACUCUGUUAUUAGGGAAGAAAAAAUGUGUAAGUAACUAUGCACGUCUUGACGGUACCUAAUCAGAAAGCCACGGCUAACUACGUG
rnacentral:rRNA from 1 species